UGAGACAGGUGCUGCAUGGCUGUCGUCAGCUCGUGUUGUGAAAUGUUGGGUUAAGUCCCGCAACGAGCGCAACCCUUAUCCUUUGUUGCCAGCGGGUUAUGCCGGGAACUCAAAGGAGACUGCCAGUGAUAAACUGGAGGAAGGUGGGGAUGACGUCAAGUCAUCAUGGCCCUUACGAGUAGGGCUACACACGUGCUACAAUGGCGCAUACAAAGAGAAGCGACCUC
rnacentral:rRNA from 1 species